AUAAAAUAUUAGGUGUGUGAAUAAGUCUUUCCCGUUUUUUGUAAGAGAUGCCGCCACCAAUACUGUGCGAGUAUUCAAUGGUUACAUAUGUCAUAAUCAAAGCUUAUUCAUCUGUCAACAAUUCCACACUAACACAUUAGUUGAAAUUUUCUGGCAUCAUACAUUUUUGAUAUCGUGAAAAUGUCGAAAUUUGAGCCGAGUCGACGUCAUUUGCGGGAAGUUUCACUUUAUUGGUUCAAUUUGAAGAAAUCUGCUGCCGAGGCGCAUUGAUUGCUUCAGGAAGCUUAUGGAGAAGGUUGUGUCGAUGAUUCAAGUGUUCGCGGAUGGUUUCGACGCUUCAAAAGUGGUGAUUUCGACGUGGAAGACAAGGAGCGUUCCGGGCGGCCGCAAAUCUUUGAAGAUCAAGAAUUGGCGACUUUGCUUGAUGAAGAUUCGUGUCAAAUGCAAGAAGACGAUGGCCAAUACUUUCAAUAAUUCAUUUAUAACCAUUUUUUCACAAUAAAGGCUCAAAAUUUGAAAAGAACGGGAAAGACUUAUUCACACUCCUAAUAGUUUAAAUUACUUAUAAAAUUAUUAUUUCCUAUAAUCCAUUUCCAAUAGUAACGAUGGAGUGUAAAGUAAUAUGUUGGAAGAAUUGUUAACAAAUUCAAAAGCAGAACUCUAGUUAUGUUUGACGCAUCGGCUAACAUUUUUGCGUCCGGGUGGAAGUUUUGCAAUGGUUUCUAUUGAAAAGAGCAAAAACAAUACGAUCACAUUACAGACCUAUAAGUUUAUAUUAAUACUAUGAGGUCAUUGUUUUCUGGAGAGCGCGUCUGUGUGGUCUUACGACGAAAACUCCAGUUUAUGUUUAUUAAAUAAUAUAAAAAAAUCUUUGUUCAUGGAAAGAAAGAAAGCGUGAUGACGAUGCUUUGGUUUUUGAGAUUUCAAGAUCGUUUGACAGUUCGACGACUGCUCUCGAAGUGGGAACACAUAAUCAUAAAACAAAACUGCUCUUACUUAAAUCCUCUAUUUUUCAUUAACCUGCCUUCUAAUUGAUAAAAUGUAAUAGUUUCAUUUUCGCAUUUUUUAAUUUUCAUUCAAACUCAUGCAAAAUGGUGUGAAACGUAAAAAACGAAGCUCGGUGACAAUGUCUGUGGGUCCCCCCUCCCUGUCACUACUUUUCCAAAUUUUGAUGUGAUAAAAUUAAACCAGAAAAGGAGAAUAAAAUUCCAAAAAAUUUGAAAUUUUAUUACAUCGCAGGUCCUAACUAGGACUCAUUCUGGGCACAGAAUCCGCUCGACUGAUCCAGUAGUUCCUCAGAAAAAUCAAUUUUGUUGUCAAAUGUUUGUUAAGAAUAUUUGUAACACUAGUGGGCCAAUUUACCUUUUGUGUGUGUGUGUUAUUUAGAACCGUAAUCUGUGUUUUAUUAGAUCUUGGAUCUUGUUUACCAGAGAAAUUCAAUAGAGGAAUGUUUGAGGGUAAAAUUAAUGGAGUCUUGAAUAAAAAAGUUUGGAAGGAGCUUCGCAGAAUUGACCUCCAUUUUAUCCACAGACACUCUUUCAAAACUAUCUCACAAAUUUACAGCCCUGUGCAAUCGUCUACAAAAAAAAUGAACAAUUAGUCAUCAAAAUAUACAAAACGUAUGUCUUUGAAAAAUAUUUUGCUUGAUUUUUUGACUGGAGCCUGGAUACAUGACCGAGUUUUGUGGAUUGAAGGCCAGUUCAAGGGAUUUUCAGGAGUUCAAACGAUGUCUUUUAUCGCUGGAGGAAAAAAUGAAAACAAGAGAAUUAACCACCAACCGCACAGUCUAUUGUCACCGGAAAAUCACCCAAACCAACUUGAUUUCGUAAACGAUUAAUGCACAUUAUGUGGAUUUCAUAUUAACACCAAUCAUUGUUAUAACC